UGAUGAACUGCAUGGCUUCCCCUUCAGAUCGAGCUCAGACCCACAAUCUCAUUUUGCAAGGCCCAAGCUCCAUCUGAAGGGGAAGCCAUGCAGUUCAUCAGGCAAUCUGAACAGAACAUGAUCAUCAACACUUCCAACAGCAGUUAUUGAGGCCUUUGAACCACAACAUCCAUGCCCAAUUACAGCUUUGGCACAACAAAUCUUCAUGGGAUGUUUCAAUCCUCGAACGCAUGCGUACAG
rnacentral:misc_RNA from 1 species